UUGACGGUGAGGGAGGGUGUGUUUCUGCUCUCCUUUAAGUAAAAGUCUACUCUAUAAAAAGAUAAGAUUGGAACCAAGAGCUGACUCUGAAAGCAAAGGAUCUGAUCCUUCUGUCCUCUGGCUUUUUGUCCAACAAACACCUGAGCAACAUGGGACGAGGUCAGAGCGAGGAGUGGGAUGAAAAGCACCCCGACACGAUACAGGCUCAGCCUCAGAGAUACCCGGAAACGAGGAGUGAGAAAAAGGAGAGCAAGUGUCCCAAAUGCUGCUUGAAAUGCAGGGACUGUCUGAUGAGCCCGGAGUGUGGACGGGCACUUCAGAUCUCCAGCGUCAUUGCUUGGUGUGGGAUGUGCAUCCGCAUGUUUGUGUAACCCAGCUUUGGAUCCCUGGACCUGCUUAUCACCAGCUUUGCUGAUUUUCUGCACCCUUCAUGCUCCAUGAAGCAUGAUUUUCUUCACUUCUGCACCUAAGAUUCUCUUUUAGUCUUUUUUCCAAGCUUAUUUAUUUAAAUUUAAUCCAUAGACAGUCUUUGUCUUGUACAUAC